GAGCGGUGUAUCUGUUCAGAUGCUUUGGUGGGAGAUGUUGUUUGCAAUGGAGAGAGGUCGUUGCUUUCCAAAGUUGUUAACAUCUGUCCAUAUCGCUCUUGGCUGUGUCGAUGUUGCUAUCGCUGCUCUUGCAUUCUCUCAGUUGAUCAGGAUCCACAUUCGGAAUCAUCAAGUAGGCUGGACACGCCAAAAAGUAUUCCAUCUCAUGAUUGGCAUUUCCAACCUAGGUAAGGUAUUGUAUGUUGAACUAUGGAGAUGGCAUGUAA